GACGAACGCUGGCGGCGUGCUUAACACAUGCAAGUCGAACGGUGACGAGGAGCUUGCUCCUCUGAUCAGUGGCGAACGGGUGAGUAACACGUGAGCAACCUGCCCCAGACUCUGGGAUAACAGUUGGAAACAGCUGCUAAUACCGGAUACGAGACGGAGAGGCAUCUCUACCGUCUGGAAAGUUUUUCGGUCUGGGAUGGACUCGCGGCCUAUCAGCUAGUUGGUGAGGUAAUGGCUCACCAAGGCGACGACGGGUAGCCGGCCUGAGAGGGCGACCGGCCACACUGGGACUGAGACACGGCCCAGACUCCUACGGGAGGCAGCAGUAGGGAAUAUUGGACAAUGGGCGGAAGCCUGAUCCAGCCAUGCCGCGUGGAGGAUUAAGGCCCUCUGGGUUGUAAACUCCUUUUAUCUGGGAAGAACCAUUCCGACUUGUCGGAACAUGACGGUACCAGAGGAAUAAGCACCGGCUAACUCCGUGCCAGCAGCCGCGGUAAU
rnacentral:rRNA from 1 species